AAUACUCAUAAAAAAAAAAAAAGAAAUAAAAAAGAAAAAAUAACCGAAAUUAGGAGGGGAAAGGUGAGAAAUAAAUGCGCUCCAUCAGGCCUACGGGCAUAUUCUUUUUUUCCAUUUUUUUUUUUUCCAUUUUUGUUUGUUCGUUUUUCUGUGCAUCAAAAUAACCAAAAUUAAGAGGGGA
rnacentral:ribozyme from 15 species